CAUGAAUUUACGCACACGUACCGAUACUCAUGGUUCACUGCUGCUGCUCAAACAUUCAUGAUUCACUUUUGCGUGUUUGCUGUUUUAUGUUUCGUUUCAAAAUGUUUAUUCCUGUAUUGCCAUUUUCAUUCUCACAGCCUCAUUUGUGUUGUUAUAAGCCAUCCCAUCGUACAUUAUGCAUGAGUGACAGUGACGGAACAACAGCGCAGCAUCAAAUGCUAUUGUUAAUGCGCUGUGUAAAUGGCACCAAUACAAACGAGUAAACACUAUAUAAUAAAAUGUAAUAUUCAAAUUUCCAAGCAAUAUUUCUUGCCAUCACGACUUUAUUUUGUAAAAUUUACAAUUAUGAUUUACAAUUUUUCAUCUAUGCGGUCGUUUUAAAGUCUGUUAAACGAUUUUUAAAUAUAUUGGUUAGGUGUUCUCGAUUAGUAUGUAUAUAUGUAAGUGUGUGAUGAUGAAAAUAGUGUUAUUUCAUUUUCAUUAUACUUUUAUAUUAUUUAUUAACCCUCUGAUCGUUUGUCGGGUGUACAACGCCCGAGGCGACUUUGAACCUCGAAUAAAAGUACCAAAAAACGAAAAAAUCACAUUGAAAUAGGUACCAUUCGAUAGCUUGAACCUUUAGCUAUACGUCAGUGAAAUUUCAUGUGCAUAUGUGUAAGAAUGUGUGAGAUAUUGCCUCCCACAACACAUGUGCGCGCGUUCGUUUCUUAGGGCGUACGACGCCCCAAGUGCAUUUUUUCAUGAAAACUGGACUGUGAUAAGAGAUAACGAUUUAAUGUCUUCGGCAAAUAUGUAGUACUAGAGGUCCUCUACAUCUUUACUAAAGACAGAUAUCGCUUAUCUCUUAUCAGUUCCGCAAAAUACGCGAAAAACCGCGAAAACGCAAAUAUUCGGUUUUCCAUUUAUCACGGAACUGAUAAGAGAUAAUAGAUACCUGUCUUCAGCAAAGCUGUAGAGCAGAUUGGGUUCUACAACUUUGCUCAAGAAACCAAGUCAUUAUCUCUUAUCAGUAACGCGAAAAAUGAUAAGAGAAAUCUCGCGUUUUUCGCAGUUUUCCGCUUAACUGAUAAGAGAUAACGAAAUAAAGCAUGUGGAAAAUUGUAGUACUUGUGGUCCUGUACAACUUUGCUGAAAACAGAUGUCACUUAUCUCUUAUCAGUCAAGCAAAAAAAAAUUAUCAAAAAACCCAUAUGGUGGGAGAUCUUUCGCGGUUUUUCGCGUAUAUUGCGUAACUGAUAAGAGAUAAGCGAUAUCUGUUUUCGGCAAAUUUAUAGUGCCGGCUGAAUACUACAACUUUGCCGAAGACACCAAUUCGUUAUCUCUUAUCAUUUACGCGAAAAAUCGCGAAAAACGCGAAUUUUCUCUUAUCAUUUUCCGCGGAACUGAUAAGAGAUAAGGAGAUGGUGUCUUCAAAAAAUUGUAGUACCUGACUUGCUUUACAACUUUGCUGAAAGCACUCAUCAUUUAUAUCUUGUCAAUUCCGUGAAAAAUGAGGAGCCGAAAAUUCACGUUUUCGCGGUUUUUCGCGUAUUUCGCGGAAUUGAUAAGAGAUAAGCAAUAUGUGUCUUCAGCAAUGUUGUAGAGCGGGUUAAGUACUACAACCUUGUCAAAGACACUAAGUCGCUAUCUCAUAUUACAAUCAAGUUUUCAUAUAAAAUGCACUUGGGGCGCUGUACGCCCCAUGAAACGAAGUUAAGGUGUAAACGCAACAAACAAUCAGAGGGUUAAAUUAAUUAUUUUUCUUUGUCAUCUUUCCUAGGCUCCAAAAAUGUUACCAAUGAAGAAUUUUUUCAAUGCUUCAAUGAUUCAGUAAAACUUUUCCAUGAACUCACAGCAUGCAUUUCGGAUGAUGAAAGGCGUCGAUUGACUGACGAUCCAGAAAGUUCAUUAGCAGUCCGUAUAAUAGCAUAAAUAUGUGGAUAAUGGACACGUGUCAUGAUUUCACAUAUUCUCAAAAAAAAAAUAAGAAUUUCCCCGAAAGUCUCGUACUCCCAUUUUUAUUCGUAAAUUCAGCCAGAACUUAGCAGUAUUAUAUGAAUUGAAAAUGUGAAUAGAAAACAUUGAAUAAAAAGCUUAAAUAUCAAAUAUCGUA